GCGCCUGUAGCUCAGGGGAUAGAGCAACGGACUUCUAAUCCGUUGGUCGUACGUUCGAUUCGUACCAGGCGCGCCA
rnacentral:tRNA from 1 species